rnacentral:rRNA from 1 species
AUUGAACACUGGCGGAAUGCUUUACACAUGCAAGUCGAGCGGCAGCGCGGGGCAACCUGGCGGCGAGCGGCGAACGGGUGAGUAAUACAUCGGAACGUACCCAGUUGUGGGGGAUAGCCCGGCGAAAGCCGGAUUAAUACCGCAUACGACCUGAGGGCGAAAGGGGGGGAUCGCAAGACCUCUCGCAGUUGGAGCGGCCGAUGGCGGAUUAGCUAGUUGGUGAGGUAAAGGCUCACCAAGGCGACGAUCCGUAGCGGGUCUGAGAGGACGACCCGCCACACUGGAACUGAGACACGGUCCAGACUCCUACGGGAGGCAGCAGUGGGGAAUUUUGGACAAUGGGGGCAACCCUGAUCCAGCCAUUCCGCGUGAGUGAAGAAGGCCUUCGGGUUGUAAAGCUCUUUCGGCAGGAACGAAACGGUGGAAGCUAAUAUCUUUUACUAAUGACGGUACCUGAAGAAGAAGCACCGGCUAACUACGUGCCAGCAGCCGCAGUAA